UACAGAGGGGGCAAGCGUUGUUCGGAAUUACUGGGCGUAAAGGGCGCGUAGGCGGCCUGUUAAGUCGAACGUGAAAUCCCCGGGCUCAACCCGGGAACUGCGUCCGAUACUGGCAGGCUUGAAUUCGGGAGAGGGAUGUGGAAUUCCAGGUGUAGCGGUGAAAUGCGUAGAUAUCUGGAGGAACACCAGUGGCGAAAGCGGCUUCCUGGUCCAGCACCGACGUUCAGGCACGAAAGCGUGGGGAGCAAACAGG
rnacentral:rRNA from 1 species